UAAGGAAUAUUGGACAAUGGGCGCAAGCCUGAUCCAGCCAUGCCGCGUGAAGGAUUAAGGCCCUACGGGUUGUAAACUUCUUUUGCAGAAGGGUAAACCUAGAUACGUGUAUCUAGCUGAAAGUACUCUGCGAAUAAGCAUCGGCUAACUCCGUGCCAGCAGCCGCGGUAAUACGGAGGAUGCAAGCGUUAUCCGGAUUUACUGGGUUUAAAGGGUGCGUAGGCGGACGGGUCAGUCAGUGGUGAAAGCC
rnacentral:rRNA from 1 species